AUGAUGAUAGCGAGAGAUACCUUAUUAGGAGCCGAAGAAGCAAUAUAUGGACACUCAAAUCUAUAUAGAAUCUUUCAGGCAAAAGGAUCGCUAUUUGAUG
rnacentral:ncRNA from 2 species